UGGGGAAUCUUCCGCAAUGGGCGAAAGCCUGACGGAGCAAUACCGCGUGAGGGACGAAGGCCUGUGGGUUGUAAACCUCUUUUCUCAGGGAAGAAGCUCUGACGGUACCUGAGGAAUCAGCAUCGGCUAACUCCGUGCCAGCAGCCGCGGUAAGACGGAGGAUGCAAGCGUUAUCCGGAAUUAUUGGGCGUAAAGCGUCCGCAGGCGGUUUCGUAAGUCUGUCUUUAAAGAGUGGAGCUUAACUCCAUAAAGGGGAUGGAAACUGCGAGACUAGAGGUAGGUAGGGGUAGAAGGAAUUCCCAGUGUAGCGGUGAAAUGCGUAGAUAUUGGGAAGAACACCAGCAGCGAAGGCGUUCUACUGGACCAAACCUGACGCUCAUGACGAAG
rnacentral:rRNA from 1 species